UACGUAGGGACCAAGCGUUGUUCGGAUUUACUGGGCGUAAAGGGCGCGUAGGCGGCAAUUCAAGUCAUCUGUGAAAUCUCCGGGCUUAACCCGGAACGGUCAGGUGAUACUGUUUUGCUAGAGUGCGGAAGGGCAAUCGGAAUUCUCGGUGUAGCGGUGAAAUGCGUAGAUAUCGAGAGGAACACCAGAGGUGAAGACGGGUUGCUGGGCCGACACUGACGCUGACAGCGCGAAAGCCAGGGAGCAAACGGG
rnacentral:rRNA from 1 species